rnacentral:rRNA from 1 species
GAGCACGUAGGUGGGUUUGUAAGUCAGAUGUGAGAGCCUUCUGUUCAACGGAAGAAUUGCAUCUGAAACUGCGAGUCUUGAGUGUAGGAGGGGAGAAUGGAACUUCUGGUGGAGCGGUGAAAUGCGUAGAUAUCAGAAGGAACGCCGGCGGCGAAAGCGAUUCUCUGGCCUAUUACUGACACUCAGUGUGCGAAAGCUAGGGGAGCAAACGGGAUUAGAUACCCCGGUAGUCCUAGCCGUAAACGAUGGGCACUAAGUAGAGGGGUUUU